CACCGCCGCACCGCCGCCGGUCGCUGGAAUCCGGACUUCAACCAAAAUUUCCAGAUUUUCUUCUCUUCAUCCCCUCUUUCCAAUUCUCCAACCAAAAUCAUGAAAUUUAGCCAUUUAAUCCCCCAAAAACCUUAGAACCCGAAGCUAAAAUUGGGGCUUUUGUGAUUUCUUCUUUCCAAGCUCAAAUCAAGGCUAUGGGUUUGGCAAGGAUUUUUGGUGAAGAAGGCCAAGGAGAAGGAAUAGGACGUGAUUUUUGAAGAAGAAAGGGUUAUAACGAGGUCAUUCCGGACGAUUUGGAUUAGAAGUGGGUCGUUGGCCGAGUCCGUGUGUUGCUGUUCCUGUUGCUUGAAGUUCUUCCCAUUUGGUACUCUAUCGAUUUACUAGCUUCUCUUCCUAUGUUGAACUCUGUGAGGUCUGCCUACCAGGGAGCGCGCCUCACCCCUUUGUUUUAUUGUUGUUGUUGAACUUUCCUUUCAUUUCGGUUAUGAUGUAAGCCCUAAGGCGCCACAAUGCAC